UACGUAGGGUGCAAGCGUUAAUCGGAAUUACUGGGCGUAAAGCGUGCGCAGGCGGUGAUGUAAGACAGUUGUGAAAUCCCCGGGCUCAACCUGGGAACUGCAUCUGUGACUGCAUCGCUGGAGUGCGGCAGAGGGGGAUGGAAUUCCGCGUGUAGCAGUGAAAUGCGUAGAUAUGCGGAGGAACACCGAUGGCGAAGGCAAUCCCCUGGGCCUGCACUGACGCUCAUGCACGAAAGCGUGGGGAGCAAACAGGAUAGAA
rnacentral:rRNA from 1 species